rnacentral:rRNA from 1 species
AUUGAACGCUGGCGGCAUGCCUUACACAUGCAAGUCAAACGGCAGCAUGAUCUAGCUUGCUAGAUUGAUGGCGAGUGGCGAACGGGUGAGUAAUACAUCGGAACGUGCCCUGUAGUGGGGGAUAACUAGUCGAAAGAUUAGCUAAUACCGCAUACGACCUGAGGGUGAAAGUGGGGGACCGCAAGGCCUCAUGCUAUAGGAGCGGCCGAUGUCUGAUUAGCUAGUUGGUGGGGUAAAGGCCCACCAAGGCGACGAUCAGUAGCUGGUCUGAGAGGACGACCAGCCACACUGGGACUGAGACACGGCCCAGACUCCUACGGGAGGCAGCAGUGGGGAAUUUUGGACAAUGGGGGCAACCCUGAUCCAGCAAUGCCGCGUGUGUGAAGAAGGCCUUCGGGUUGUAAAGCACUUUUGUCCGGAAAGAAAUCGCACUUACUAAUAUUAGGUGUGGAUGACGGUACCGGAAGAAUAAGGACCGGCUAACUACGUGCCAGCAGCCGCGGUAA